AACAUAUCAUCCUCAUGCCACAUGAAUCAUGUGGUUGUCCCUCACUCCCUCUUCUUAAUAUUUUUCUAGUUAGACCGUAAGAUGAUUCUCGGAAGGUGUCACAAUGAUAUCCGAAGUGAUUCCGAUCAUCUAUUUGGUGUAGGUUUAUGUACUUCCCUAGUCAUGGUCAACCAAGCAUUCCGAAGAAUAAUGCAAAUAACUA